AUUCUCUCAAGCUCUCAAUCUCAUCUCUCACGCACUCUUUCUCUCAAAACCUUUACUUCUCUUUUUCCCAUUUUUUUCACUUGCGGAACUCCUCCUGGUGGCUGUGGUGUUUAGGUGAUGAUGUUGGUGUGGGAAAUUAGCUGAAGAUCUCCUUCUCCAUUGGUCUCCUUCUGCUUCCAAUCUUCUUCCCAUUUCUUCUUCCUAGAGUUUAGAUUUUUAUACCAAGAGCAGGGAUAGGUGGUGUAUCUGUAGCUGGAAGGUGGAGCUGAAUCCUUUCGGAUGCUUUGUUUGUUUUCAGUCACUUGGUAUAGUGACUUUUGAUGAAAUGUUUGUAUUGUACGCCCUAACUCUAGUUGGAUUGGAACAUUCGUAUAUAUUUAUAUUCUAGAUCCUAUAUUUAUAUACUCGUUCUAUUCUACCUA